CAGCCGCCGCGGGAAUACGGAGGAUCCAAGCGUUAUCCGGAUUUAUUGGGUUUAAAGGGUGCGUAGGUGGCUUAUUAAGUCAGGGGUGAAAGACGGUAGCUUAACUAUCGCAGUGCCUUUGAUACUGAUGAGCUUGAAUGAACUAGAGGUAGGCGGAAUGUGACAAGUAGCGGUGAAAUGCAUAGAUAUGUCACAGAACACCAAUUGCGAAGGCAGCUUACUAUGGUUUUAUUGACACUGAGGCACGAAAGCGUGGGGAUCAAACAGGAUUAGAUACCCCAGUAGUCCCUGUCUCUUAUAC
rnacentral:rRNA from 1 species